UCAAAUCGUUUAAACACUCAGCAAUGUUUUUGCUAUCCGUGCAGACUUCUAAAGAGCUGGAGCCCCAGCGUGAUGACCAAAUCGGCCUUGACUAUUUAUCUCUCCACAGUCAUUCUUUCCCGGGGCCCCGGAGUAGCUGAGUUGCACUGUGUGCGGUGCAGUGGGGGAGCUUCCCCUGCUGAAGCUGGGCGGUUCCACUGGACAAUGCAGCCUUUUCUGCUCCACUCUCUGGGCGCGGAAACAAUGAGAUGGUCCAGGGAGAGGGGGUGAGGCUGAUUGUUUAUAACAGCGAUUCCCAAACUUCCUAGGGGAAGACAUUUUCAUAUUUAAAAAAAGUGUGUAUUAUGAUUACGGAUUCUCUUUACACUCUUGUUUAAUUGUAAAAGGACGACAGGCACUUGAUUUUAAAAAAUUAAUAUGUGAAAUCACGCUGAUCUUAUUCGGGGGAAUCACCUCUUUCUCACUGUGCACAGUCCUCGUGGGAAUGUCAAUUAAGUCCUUUGUCCUCUGGUAGCCAAGGAUGAGAUCCCUUUCAGAAAGCAAGAGGGCCUGCUGGUUCUGCCCCAAGAUCGUGAGCUGGAGUAAAGAGAUGCCAUUCAACCUUGAAAUCAUUUUCUAGAAGCAGUAUCUGUUGGCCUUUGGGGAUGCUAAAACCUCCUCUGCCUACUGUGGCCAAGGAAAGAAACAGUCCACUGGCCAAAUUUGCAGACUCUGGGGCAAGACCAUCCGGUUUUGGAACAUAGUCACGGACAGUUAAGAUGGAAAGAACUAAGAAGGCACAAUUGCAUUUUUAUUCCACAACCAGGCAACUCAAAACUGGGGUCCUCAGCAGUGAGCCGGGGCAGGUGAGAAGACACUAUGUACAUGUGGCACAUCUUCUGGGAAAGUCAACUUUACUCAAAGUUUUUACUGAGAUAAAAUUGAUGUCCAGCACUGUGUAAGUGUAAGGCGUACGGCAUGAUGAUUCGAUUUACGUAUACCAUGAAAUGAUUAUCAAGUUAUAGAAGACCUGCAUUCACUGAGCACUUGCUGAUUACCAGCAACUUCCCAGCAAUUAACAUCAUCAUGUAUGUCUCUCAAUAGGUUUGUUCUAAAGAGCUUGCCCAAGGAUCUGGACUAGGAUGAGGAGAGUGAAGCACCUAGAGGGCAGAAUUUAAGGAAACAUUCACCAUCAAGGUCAUGCCAGUUGCCCAACCCUGAGAAGGAGUGCUUCCUAAAAUUUUGCUUUUGGACGCCUCACUGUUCUCACCCUGUCUGGGUUCUGCUGAUCCCGGAGAACUACCUCUCAGGUUUAAUCAUCUGUGCCCUCAAGUCUGGACUACAAGCAGACCUCAGGGAUACUGUCCAUGUCCUGUUCUGUUGCAGACGACCUGGUGACCCAGAGAAAGCAAAUGCCGCAAUAAACUUGGUGUUCAGUGACUUCGUGUUGGCAGCUCAGAGGUGACCAGGCUGGAGUAUUUACACUGUGGAAAUUGGCAGAAGCAACAAAGAUGACAGGUAUUCUGUUCUGUUGCUCAACCAAGAGACUUAGUUGGAAAACAAGAAAUUCCUGGAAUCACUACUUGCCUAAAGCUUUUUCUAGCUGGAGUCCGUGCUUGAGGCUCAAAGGUUACAGUACCAUGAGUUGAGGAACUCUGCAGGCUGUGAAAUCAUCCGCCCAAAGAUGCCAGAAGUUCCAAUCAGGACCUUCUAAAUCUGAAUGCUUGGAGAUGGAGCCCAGCUAGGUAGCACAGGCAGUCCUUCCCUGGCUGGCGAACUGGGGAGCCAACAUUGAGUCCGAUUCCUGAUCUUGUCCUCUGGACACUUACCCCUUGGCAACAAGCUCCUGGAUUGCACCAGCUCUACUGCAAGUGCUCGGCAACUGAGUUGGCUCGUGGCUACCAUUUUGGACAGGGCGGAGUCAGAGGACGAGGAGUUUGGGAGAGCUGAGAUAGAUGGAGUGAGGAGGGAAGAUCCAGGAAGGUUUCCUUACUUGGCAGAGGGACGCUGCAGUGUGAUUAAAUGAAGCCUGUUGAGUCGGAGAGCGCGGCGGCGUGGAUCAGCCAGAGCGUGCAGGAGGAAGGCUCCCUCGCCAUCACCGUGGUUUAAGCCCCGUGAGGUGGAUUUUGGACUUGAGACUUCAUGACCGCCCAAACCUAAGACCCAGGACCGGCUGCGUACUUUGGAGAGCCCAGUGCGAUGUGAACAUGCCUUAAAAAAUUCGUUAAGAGUGUCAAGACGGACACAGCCGAGCAUUGCAGCCUCUCAGCACGGGCUCCUGUGUGACUCCGUCCACCACACGCCUGGGAAGGCGGCGCUGGCACUGGGGUCGACCAGCCCGUGUGUGCUGGCCCAACCCCGGUCAGUGCCUGCUGCCCAGGGCUGCCCAGCAGAGGUGAACUGCCCGGAUCUCCUGCGUGACAACCUGACACUGCAACCAGGUUGGACAUUAAGGCUUCUUAAAACUCCAGAGAAAGGAAAUCCAGCUUCACGGCAUUACAUGACACCCACAGACCCCCGUGUGAGACGAACACAGUCACACAGAAGCGCGCAGCACUUCGGAGAGUGAAAGAGAACGGGUCUCCGCGCGAGAUCCAUCUCAGGAACACACAUCAGCUAAACCUCGGAGCUGCAUGGAGACCAUGAGGAGGCGGCGCUCUGCCACUCAGUAACUCCAGGUGCAGCACGCCCACAAGGUGGACACGUGGUGACCCUGAUCCCCGAGACGCAGACCACUUUUAGGAGGAAAGCUGGUGUGGCCAGAGAUGACGAGGAAGGAGAAAGGAGGCAGCCCACGUGUCACCCAUUUCAUGGCUGUGUGCCCGCAGAAGGCUGCGUGAAAGGCCUGCGGCUUUUAUGGGAAAGUCAGUAAAUGGUCCUUUUAUGUGCGAAGCCAGCUAAAAACUUGCAGAAGCACCCACCUCCACCUGGGCUCUGGGAAAGCAGCAAUUACGAGACGGGGAGGAACUGAGUAUUUCCAGAUCACGGGGAAAUAUAAUGGAAUUUUCAUUCCUUUAUCCACUUGGAUGACUCCAGUAUUGGAUAUUCAAGAUUUGAUCAGAUUAUUCUGGCUGUGGAGCUCACACGUAUGAGGACUUCCAUAACAUUUAUGUCUUAGAGUCUUCAUAGGUAAGGAAGACGCAAUAGAAGUGGGAUCAGGUUUCAGCUCCCCCCACUGCUGCUGCGCUGGUGAGUUUGAAUCUUUGUAGCGUGCUUUGAGAUAACUGGUUGAAGGGAACUCUAAUCUUCCAGGCUUCUGACCAACUGACUGAAGGGGAAAAGGAAGCUGUAAAUCGUAUUUUGGGCUCAGGUGACAGAGCGGCUCCAAGGGAGCGUCAGCAUGGGAAUGGCAGCAAAAGAAAUGGUGACGUCUAUACGGUUGGAUCUCUCCUCUCUUCAGUCGAACCUACAACCUCCUGCAUGGUAGCCCUACACUCUACCCCUGACCUGCAGCCUCUCUCAAGCUACCUUACUUCCCACACACUCACCUGUAUUUCCCCCAGCCCAGGGAGUGUGCUGGGUUCCAGGUUCCUCAGAAAAAAAUUAAAGUUCAUUUUUACAGUAAUGCAGAGUCCUACAUGCCCUUCUCUGUUGCUGUGUAUGCUUAGGAAAUUUCCCAAAUGGUCUGAAUUAACUUGGGAGUCUGCUUUCCCCACCAGACUUCUCUGGACUUGAUAGACGCUGAACCACUCUUAGGAUCAAGGGUUGCAACUCAUUCCUCCUUUUGCUGGGACAACUUUGGAGCGUUUUGAAAAGCAGGUAAUGAGUUAACACGUGAACAGUUUCCCUUCUCAUGCAUGUAUUAUUAUUACAUGCCCAACUGAAGUCGGAGCAAAUUUCUGCAAAGUAAUAAAUACACAAACAAAAGCCAUAACUUGAGCUUAGAAGAGCCACACCUGAAUUACACUAAAAAGUGAGCUGUGUGAAGGACAUCAUUGAAAUGAAUUUUUUUUUUUUUUUAAAGAAAGACUUCACUUUUAUGAGGAUAGUCAAGGGGGAAGAGGUAACAUAGUGUUUCAUGGUCAGUCGUACCUCUGCGUCCAUGGGCUAACCGACAACCUCACGACCUAAGCAGCAGCUGUUCCACUCCACGUGGCAUUACGGCAAGGCCCAAAGUGGCCAGAAUUCUGCCCUCACCAAACUGUCUUCUAUCGCUGACCAUUGUGACUAAGGGAAAGGAGGAAUGAGUUGCAACCCUUGUUCCUAAGAGAGAAUCAGCAUCUAUCAAGUCCAGAGAAGUCUGGUGGGGAAAGCAGACUCCCAAGUUAAUUCAGACCAUUUUGGAAAUGUAGAAAAGGUAUGCAGGACUCACUCUGCAUUACUGUAAAAAUGACAUUUGAUUUUUUCUGAGGAACCUGGAACCCAGCACACACCCUGGGCUGGGGGAAAGAAAGCUGUGGGAAAAUAAGGGAGCUAGAGAGAGGCUGCAGCUCAGGGGCAGAGCGGAAAUCUAGCACGCAGGAGGUCCUAGGUUUGAUUCUGCAGCCAGCACACCUUGCCCACUGCACCUGUCCGCGGACACCCCGCACCACCAAAGCCACUCUCCUUGCACACACGCCCUGUACUCUUCCUUCUACAUUGACAGGUUCCCUGAUGGCUUUUACGAUUUCGGCUUCACAUUUAGCAACGACACAUUUAGACUCUCCACAGGUAUCCGUGUCCUCCUAAACUAUCAUUUGAGAGUAAGGAUACAGUGAUUCUGGGCAAACUGUAAUGGACCAUAACGUCAAAAAAAUCUCAUAAUCACCCCAUGAAAACCAAAAUCCACAAAUAAGAUCCACAGAAAAACAAAACUGGGUGAGAAGAUAGCUUGACCCCAUCAUAGUGAAAGUUAAAAAACCAAGGCAAAGGAGGCCCCAAAGCGGAGGGGCCUUCUUCCCUGAGUCGCCACAAUGUUUCUCUGAGGCAAACGAUGAAAGCAACCAACCGGAGGUCAAUGUCUAAGCUAGAGGUUCCUUUUUUCUUUGUUUUUUCACUUGAUGACCACUUAGGGCCAGGUGGGUUACCACCUCUAUAGUGGACUUAAUUUUCAACAUGAUCCUGUGUACGAUACGUACUUUCAUAUCAGACUGCUCCUCUGUCAGAAACGUGCAGAGAGGCCCUAAGUCCCAUCAGUCCUGGAACACUGACCACUAAGUAACUAACUAACUAAAUAAAUAAAACCAGUCUAUAAAUACGAAGCUUUAUGGUUACCCUUAGUUACUUCACUCUUUCCGAGCAUAAUGCAGUCUGUCCCGAGGCCAGCGCUUUAUUUCUGUAGUGGGCUCUGCUGUCCUAUUUUCUGUAUCGUACAUCACACAUUAUGUUGCUCUCGUCAUCUUCUUAAGAUGCUCCACUAGUAUUUUUACUUGCCUUGAAAAAUGCAAGUGGGCAGUAAUGGAAGGGAGGGCCUGCUGGCUGAAGCUUUAUUUAAUUCGCGCAGCAGAACGUUGUCUUAGGAGCCUGUCUCCUCACCAGGGCUCCAAACUCCAAGAGGAGACGAAAAAGAGCUGCUCCUCAGAUCACCCCUCACCUCCUGAUGGCUAUAAUGUGUUCUUAGAAAACGGCAGGAGAGUUUGGG